UGUAAACGAUCUUCGCUAGGUGUCGGCCACGGUGCGACCGUUGUCGGUGCCGUAGGGAAGCCGUGAAGCGAGCCACCUGGGAAGUACGGCCGCAAGGCUGAAACUUAAAGGAAUUGGCGGGGGAGCACCACAACGGGUGGAGCUUGCGGUUUAAUUGGAUUCAACGCCGGAAAUCUUACCGGGACCGACAGCAAUAUGAAGGCCAGGCUGAAGACUUUGCCGGAUUAGCUGAGAGGUGGUGCAUGGCCGUCGUCAGUUCGUACUGUGAAGCAUCCUGUUAAGUCAGGCAACGAGCGAGACCCACGCCCACAGUUGCCAGCGUACUCUCUGGAGUGACGGGUACCCUGUGGGGACCA
rnacentral:rRNA from 1 species